rnacentral:rRNA from 1 species
AUUGAACGCUGGCGGCAGGCCUAACACAUGCAAGUCGAACGGUAACAGGAAGAAGCUUGCUUCUUUGCUGACGAGUGGCGGACGGGUGAGUCAUGUCUGGGAAACUGCCUGAUGGAGGGGGAUAACUACUGGAAACGGUAGCUACUACCGCAUAACGUCGCAAGACCAAAGAGGGGGACCUUCGGGCCUCUUGCCAUCGGAUGUGCCCAGAUGGGAUUAGCUAGUAGGUGGGGUAACGGCUCACCUAGGCGACGAUCCCUAGCUGGUCUGAGAGGAUGACAAGCCACACUGGAACUGAGACACGGUCCAGACUCCUACGGGAGGCAGCAGUGGGGAAUAUUGCACAAUGGGGGCAAGCCUGAUGCAGCCAUGCCGCGUGUAUGAAGAAGGCCUUCGGGUUGUAAAGUACUUUCAGCGGGGAGGAAGGGAGUAAAGUUAAUACCUUUGCUCAUUGACGUUACCCGCAGAAGAAGCACCGGCUAACUACGUG